rnacentral:rRNA from 1 species
UACGUAGGGGGCGAGCGUUGUCCGGAAUCAUUGGGCGUAAAGCGCGUGUAGGCGGCCCGGUAAGUCCGCUGUGAAAGUCCAGGGCUCAACCCUGGGAUGCCGGUGGAUACUGUCGGGCUAGAGUCCGGAAGAGGAGUGUGGAAUUCCUGGUGUAGCGGUGAAAUGCGCAGAUAUCAGGAGGAACACCAAUGGCGAAGGCAGCACUCUGGGACGUGACUGACGCUGAGACGCGAAAGCGUGGGGAGCAAACAGG